rnacentral:tRNA from 1 species
GAGGAUAUAGCUCAGUGGUAAAGUGCAUGCUUAGCAUUCACAAGGUCCUGGGUUCAAUCUCCAGUACCUUCU